rnacentral:rRNA from 1 species
GACGAACCGUGCGACCGUUGUUCGGAAUCACUGGGCUUAAAGGGCGCGUAGGCGGGCUAUCAAGUCUGGGGUGAAAUCCCGCGGCUCAACCGUGGAACUGCCUUAGAUACUGACGGCCUUGAGGAAGGUAGGGGCAUGCGGAACUGUAGGUGGAGCGGUGAAAUGCGUUGAUAUCUACAGGAACUCCGGUGGCGAAAGCGGCGUGCUGGACCUUUUCUGACGCUGAGGCGCGAAAGCUAGGGGAGCAAACGGG